UUUGUGUUUAAAUACUUAUAUCAUCUCAUCUGGAAUUAAUUUUACUUCAUACUGUGAAAUUGGGGUACAAGUGGCAAUCCUUUCCCCACUUCAGGGCCAGGGCAUUUUUAUCCUUUCUAUAAUUUCCUUCAGGCCUCUAGGUCAGUAGAAACACAUGCACCAAGUGGACAAGUGCGAUCUUUCUGGAAGAGAAGCCCAGGCAUCUGUUUGCUGAUUUUCUUUGAGAAACUAAGAAACCCGAAGCAACCUUGGAAACUCCAAACAUAGGGAUGGAGUGGAAGUUUACUCAUGUAUCAGUUCUUAUCCUGGGUAGAAGAUGUAUUGGGUACAACAUAAAGAACUAUUUGCAUCUCUGAAUUUGCUCAGCCUGCCAGAGAAACUGCUUAUUUCACAGAUGGAUGUUGAGGCUAUAGAUGCUUCCUUGAAAUGGAAGGAUUACUGCCUUAGUCAGGUUCCCUUGAAGAAUGUAUUUUGUUUGUAUUUUGAUGCCUAGACUUAAAAAGCAUGAGCAUGGGCUAUCCUUAAUAUGAGGAUAUUAACUCUUCAUUGUUUCCAUUUGCAUUCAGUAUAGUGUAUUACGCAGAAACAUAGCAGUACC
rnacentral:lncRNA from 1 species